rnacentral:rRNA from 1 species
GUGGGGAAUCUUCCGCAAUGGACGAAAGUCUGACGGAGCAACGCCGCGUGAGUGAAGAAGGUUUUCGGAUCGUAAAGCUCUUUCGUUAGGGACGAACGGGCUCUUUGUGAAUAAUGAGGAGUAAUGACGGUACCUAAAUAAGAAGCCACGGCUAACUACGUGCCAGCAGCCGCGGUAAUACGUAGGUGGCAAGCGUUGUCCGGAAUUAUUGGGCGUAAAGCGCGCGCAGGCGGGAUAUCAAGUCUGUCUUAAAAGUGCGAGGCUCAACCUCGUGAGGGGACAGAAACUGGUAUUCUUGAGUGUCGGAGAGGAAAGUGGAAUUCCAAGUGUAGCGGUGAAAUGCGUAGAGAUUUGGAAGAACACCAGUGGCGAAGGCGACUUUCUGGACGAUGUCUGACGCUGAGGCGCGAAAGCUAGGGGAGCGAACGGGAUUAGAAACCCCGGUAGUCC